rnacentral:rRNA from 1 species
CACGUAGGGGGCAAGCGUUGUCCGGAAUUAUUGGGCGUAAAGAGCUCGUAGGCGGCUCGGUAAGUCAGGUGUCAAAUCCUCAGGCUCACCUGGGGCUCCACCUGAUACUGCUGUGGCUAGAGUCCGGUAGGGGAGCGUGGAAUUCCUGGUGUAGCGGUGAAAUGCGCAGAUAUCAAGAGGAACACCGUGCGGCGAAGGCGGGUUGCUGGGCUGACACUGACGCUGAUGCGCGAAAGCCAGGGGAGCGAACGGG